rnacentral:tRNA from 1 species
UGGGAUGCGGCUCAAGUGGUAGCGUGCUCGCCUGGCAUGUGUGAGGCACUGAGUUCGAUCCUCAGCACCACAU